rnacentral:rRNA from 1 species
GUAGGUCCCGAGCGUUGUCCGGAUUUAUUGGGCGUAAAGCGAGCGCAGGCGGUUUGAUAAGUCUGAAGUUAAAGGCUGUGGCUCAACCAUAGUUCGCUUUGGAAACUGUCAAACUUGAGUGCAGAAGGGGAGAGUGGAAUUCCAUGUGUAGCGGUGAAAUGCUUAGAUAUCACGAAGAACUCCGAUUGCGAAGGCAGCCUGCUAAGCUGCAACUGACAUUGAGGCUCGAAAGUGUGGGUAUCGAACAGGAUUAGAUACCCUGGUAGUCCGCACGGUAAACGAUGGAUGCCCGCUGUUGGUCUGAAUAGGUCAGCGGCCAAGCGAAAGCAUUAAGCAUCCCACCUGGGGAGU